GCUCUGCCGAUCUGGGGACCCGGUCACGGGGAGAAGAGAUCACAUUUAUCGGGUGGUACCCGUAGAAUGCUCCCGGUGAUGGCCUGCUUUUCAAAUGGCAACUGAAGCCAUCCUUUUGGGUGUUAGAUUAGCCUAGUCCAGGCUGGCCCUAUUUCAUCUUGCUCACAGCCAUUGAGCGUGCCCCAAAACUCUGCUCUGGUCCUUGAAUUGUGCCGAGCCCUUUUCCCUCCUCUGUACCUUUACUCAUGUGAUUCCCUCAUCUUCAAUGCCUUUCCUUCUCCCCAGCCUCUGUCAGCUUUCAAUACCCAGCUCAGGGGCCACCACCUCUAGGAAGGCUUCCCAGAUCCCACUCCUCUUCCAAGACCCUAUCCCCAAGACUCUUCUUGCUCACUGAUCACUCUGCACAUGUUCUUUGUCUGUGUCCAGGACUCUGGCCCACAAGGGUGGGGACCCAUCUUACUUGGCUCUGUGUCCUGUGACAUCUAGAACAGGGCCUGGCAGUAGAAUGAGUUUUGAAAGGGCGUGAAUGAAUCAUUCUGACUCCAGAGGAAAAUCAGCUCCCAGCUGCAGCAAUCAGAGCCCUGCUACUCCUGUAUCAGAGCCCCAAGCUCCCCGCUUGGGAUCUGCAGAGUCUACACAGUCCUCCGCCCACGCAGCCCUGUCCUGAAUCCAGCCUGGGGACCAUCUGCCCCGCCCGUGGUCCUGAGCUCCAGCAGGGCACUCCCAUUCCGGGCUGGCCUCUUCACGGCUGUGCCCUGCGGCUGGCGCCCAGUAAGCAGGUGCUCAGUAAAGGUGU